CCUAAUGAUAAAUCACGUUGAUCUCCAUCAAUUGUGACUGGAUUUCAUCAGCCAGGGAGGCACCCUAGUGUACAGAGGAAGACGGAUAACUCUAGAAGCCCUGGAAGUUGUGCCAACAAUGUGUCUCCUGAUCAGACUUGAACCUAACAGAAGGACAUGGGACUUGGAAAGCCCUUGGAGGAAAUGAGAACAUCCUAUUACCUGAAUUAUAUGGUGUAAUAGACAGCCAUCUACAGUGGGGUCUCACUGUCAUGAAGCGCUGGCUGACCUGGAACUC